AGGCCCAUAGUGUAAUGGUAGCAUACCGGUCUCCAAAACCGUUGGUGAGGGUUCAAAUCCUUCUGGGCCUGCCA
rnacentral:tRNA from 1 species